rnacentral:sRNA from 1 species
GCUAAAUCCACGGCAGCAUCAGACAUUGCUGAAUAGCUGGUGCGGGAGGCUGCAGCUGGCCAUGGGGACUGCAGCCCCUGCCUCCGGGGCUCACUCCUGGGCGGCCAGACAGUGGCUAAGGCAGACAGGCAGUUCUUAUGGAGCUUCAGGCUGCCCGGGGAGGCGCAGAAGAUUGAUCGCAUGAUGGAGGCUUUCGCUUCUCGCUACUGCCUGUGCAACCCCGGGGUCUUCCAGUCCACAGGUCAGUGCAGAGCCCACAGCCUGGCCCCUUGCCAGGCACAGCCUCCAGCUCUGGAGGGGGCGGCCCCUGUGGGCACAGCCCAGCGUGUGUUCCUGGGGACCUGCCUUCCCUGAGCGAGGACGACCUGUGGGCCGGGCACCUCUUGCAGGCGCGCCCCCAAGCACGCGGGGUCCCACUGUCCACUGGAGGUUCUGGCUGAGCCCAGCACCCCGGACUCGUUGCAGACACGUGCUACGUGCUGUCAUUCGCCAUCAUCAUGCUCAACACCAGCCUCCACAACCACAACGUGCGUGACAAGCCCACGGCAGAACGGUUCAUCGCCAUGAACCGCGGCAUCAACGAGGGCGGGGACCU